UGGUCUCCCUUUUAUUAUGUAACUUUUGUGGAUUUCAUUUAAAUGAUCCAACAUAAAUAAAAAAUAUAUUAUAAAUUGAGAAAAAGAAAACAAAAACGAAAAUAUUCUUUUAAAACUGUGGUGGGAUUGACAACUAGGGCUUUAAGCCACUAUUCUAUCUUUCUCUCACUCUCUACUCCUCCUCGCCGCCUCUAUGGCUCUGGUUCUUCCUGCGAACCCCAACAAUGGCGGGCAGAAGAUCAAAAGGAAGCCCGACUACUUCGAGUGACUUUUUCUUUGAGGACUAUCCUGGUUGUUCAAUAUUCCGUUCUCACAUCAUCGACUUCCGUUCUCAUAUAAAAUGUGAAUCGCCAAAGUUAUAGGUGUUGAUAUUAAAAACAAAUUACUCGCAGGAAGUGAUUCAGUGAAUUUAAUCCGAGCAACAGAUAUGUGUUACGGGGAAGCAAAGCUUAGGAAUUGACGAUGGCACGAUGCUUCCAAAUUGAGGCUGUAUCUGAGAUGGAUGUGUAGUUUUUUAAUUGUAUUUUCAUUGGUUGAUUAAAUAAAAUGUUCUUGGUACUCAUUAGUUAUGUAAUUAAUAACUUUAGAUGAAAUGAAUAAAGUUUUUUUUGGAA